rnacentral:lncRNA from 10 species
GGAUUAUGGAAGGCAAAGAAUCUCUCGUGUGUCAUUCACGCUCAAGUAAAUGGCAGUGGGGUAGGGAUGUAAAUGAAACUGCGUGAUAAGCCCUGCAAGUCAUUCUGAUGUAUCAAUUUUGCUUACUGGUGUUUAAUUGCAGACAUUGUCAUAUUAAUGCAACCACUAAUACAUUAUGGAGUAAGAUGCAAAAAUCACAUGAGUCUUAAGAGAAAAGAAAUGUGCUUUCUAUGGUGGGCCCCUUUUGUAUUAUUCUCUAACUUCUUAUUUUAUACCUCUACUAUUAGAGAAAUUUCAGUAGAAAAUCGUGAGGGGCACCGUUUUAGAGUUUUUGUUGUUAUAGGUAUGCUUUUACUACAGCUAGGUCCCCUUGUACAUCUUUAUGUUCUUUGGCAGUCUAGAGAACCAGAAGAGCAAACUCUAUGAGAUAGAAACUCUAAGAAUUUAUUUACCUCCAGCAUCCCUUCUCUUCUUUCAUUAAAUUGAAUUUGUGGCCAACUCAAAGACUG